AUUGAACGCUGGCGGCAGGCCUAACACAUGCAAGUCGAACGGUAACAGGAAGAAGCUUGCUUCUUUGCUGACGAGUGGCGGACGGGUGAGUAAUGUCUGGGAAACUGCCUGAUGGAGGGGGAUAACUACUGGAAACGGUAGCUAAUACCGCAUAACGUCGCAAGACCAAAGAGGGGGACCUUCGGGCCUCUUGCCAUCGGAUGUGCCCAGAUGGGAUUAGCUAGUAGGUGGGGUAACGGCUCACCUAGGCGACGAUCCCUAGCUGGUCUGAGAGGAUGACCAGCCACACGGGAACUGCGACACGGUCCAGACUCCUACGGGAGGCAGCAGUGGGGAAUAUUGCACAAUGGGCGCAAGCCUGAUGCAGCCAUGCCGCGUGUAUGAAGAAGGCCUUCGGGUUGUAAAGUACUUUCAGCGGGGAGGAAGGGAGUAAAGUUAAUACCUUUGCUCAUUGACGUUACCCGCAGAAGAAGCACCGGCUAACUCCGUG
rnacentral:rRNA from 1 species